UGAAGUUUCUGUCAAUACCAAGGCGUCCUAUGGUGACUUGGGGUCAAUCUAAAGCUUAGCUAAUCCAUCCUAAAGUAGAAUUUUACUUGGAAAUAAAAGAAUGGAAAAUCACAUAAGAGGUACAUGGUCAUGCAGAUAUUUGUUGCACCAACAUGACGAUAGCCUAAAAACAGAAGGACCUCCAUAAUCUAAUUACACUAAAUCACAAUCAUAUAACUGACACAGACUGAGCCAAAAAAUAAUAUUAUACAUACUCGAUUUGCAAAUUGCAAAUAUCAAUACAAAUCAUAUUAUAAAUACACAAUAUGCAAAGAACAGUAAGGAGCUCCGGAUGGCGCAUAGUAUUUUUUUCGAUUUACUAUUUAUUAGAUAUUAAUACAAAAGACAAAAUAUCAUGUUACUUUCUACAUGGCCAUUUUUGCAAAAAAAAUGGUUUUUUUAUAUAGAAUUCACAGUAAAUGUUUUAGGACCUUAGGGAGAAACUGCAAAAUGAAAAUUCAGCGUGUCAGGAUCAAGCCAAAGGAUAAGAAAAUGCAAAAACAUAAGUCUUUUGGGUAUCCAAAAACCAUGGUAGCUUCAAGUGCUACCAGAAAUAGGUCAAGCCUGUUAAAAAACAGUGGGAUAUAAUCGGUUUCCAAUAAGUGGCACAAAGUUCCUAAUUGCCUUGCCCACUAAUUUGUGUUGAGGAAGCAAGCACAAACCCGUACAAAUGCAUUAUUGUUACAUGUGUUCUAUCGGUAUCACAAAAAAUUAAACCAUGUACGACAACCCUCUUUAAAAGUUCUCAUAUUAAUCGUGGUUGUGGCCAUUUGUGGGAACAUGAUUUAGAAUAUUUAAUAUACUAGAAGUUUACAACAAAUGAAGCUCAUAUUUUAUUUUUUUAACAACUAAGAUUGCAGUUAUAUCUGAUCAUGCUUGAGGCUCAUAUUUGAUUUCCUACCCUGCAAUUUACCUCUAGAUAGGAAAAGAGGAUACUAUUCAUCACUGCGAAACUGCCAUGCAAAAUUAUAUGAGAUGACUACAAAAUAUUUUUCUAUGAUCAGACCCUGCGCAAGCGGGAGCUACAUGCACCGGGGUGCCUUUUUUUUACUCUGGAUUAUACGGAUAUAAAACUGGAAGGGAAACCACACAAAAAGAGAAUUUGGCUUUAAACAUUUGCAUAUGGUACUCUUCUUUGGCAUGAAAGCUACUCCAAAGAGUAGUACGUAACAGUUAAAUGAGUAACCCUUAGAUGAAAAUGUAGUCAGAGCAGCCAUUUUAAACACUUGCAACAUGACCAAUGUGUAGUCUAAUUUCGUGAGCGGUCUAAUUAUCUCUAGAACAGGCCACAACAAAUUCAAACUAAUUCACAAUUGAGAAUUAGCAGAUAACAAUAUUUGCUGCUACAAUAUAUUGGAAUGAACUCAAAGAAUAAGUGUUUUUUCUUCUUUAAAUACACUUGGUAUUUUCAUGCAACAUGGAUGAAAUGAUGAAUAGAUUAAAUCAGCGUUGAGAUCAUAAUGAAGCUUGUUGAGGAAAUAGAUAUUUGAACAUUACAACUACAUUUGUGUAUCCCUAAAAUACUUGGGAAAAUCAAAAUCUUCAAGACGUACUAAAUCUAUCUUUUCACCCUUGAGAUCAUAAUCCACAUAUUAUCCCAUAUACAAUACACAUUUGUUGAUCACAGUUAUAAUUUAGAUAGUGAGCACCCAACAAAACUAAUUCAAUAGGUAGCUCCAAACUAAAAACUAAAAGCAAAACAGAAUGCGUACAUCUUUUAGGAAACAAUUGGGUAGAAACAAUUUAGUUUUGUUAAGUUUGAUGUAAAUCUUUUUGGAAGGACUCCAUAUCAUGGCUCCUGAGAUCUGAGAAAUUUUGACUUUGUGAACCCAAGCUUUGGUUUUGAGGCAUUAUGUAUCUCAUUUAUCUGUAUUUAUUUUUGUAUCUGACGUGAUGUUUCUGUCAAUACCAAGGCGUCCUGUGGUGACUUGGGGUCAAUCUAAUGCUUAGCUAAUCCAUCCUAAAGUAGAAUUUUACUUGGAAAUAAAAGAAUGGAUAAUCACAUAAGAGGUACAUGGUCAUGCAGAUAUUUGUUGCACCAACAUGACGAUAGCCUAAAAAGAGAAGGACCUCCAUAAUCUAAUUACACUAAAUCACAAUCAUAUAACUGACACAUACUGAGCCAAAAAAUAAUAUUAUACAUACUCGAUUUGCAAAUUGCAAAUAUCAAU
rnacentral:lncRNA from 1 species